CCUACGGGAGGCAGCAGUGAGGAAUAUUGGUCAAUGGACGAGAGUCUGAACCAGCCAAGUAGCGUGAAGGAUGACUGCCCUAUGGGUUGUAAACUUCUUUUAUAUGGGAAUAAAAUGUUCCACGUGUGGGAUUUUGUAUGUACCAUAUGAAUAAGGAUCGGCUAACUCCGUGCCAGCAGCCGCGGUAAUACGGAGGAUCCGAGCGUUAUCCGGAUUUAUUGGGUUUAAAGGGAGCGUAGGUGGCUUGUUAAGUCAGUUGUGAAAGUUUGCGGCUCAACCGUAAAAUUGCAGUUGAAACUGGCAGUCUUGAGUACAGUAGAGGUGGGCGGAAUUCGUGGUGUAGCGGUGAAAUGCUUAGAUAUCACGAAGAACUCCGAUUGCGAAGGCAGUUCACUGGACUGCAACUGACACUGAGGCUCGAAAGUGUGGGUAUCAAACAGGAUUAGAUACCCGUGUAGUC
rnacentral:rRNA from 1 species